rnacentral:lncRNA from 1 species
AUGACAUUUUCUUUUCAUUUUGUGACCAGUUCCAGUUGCCCUCAGUCAUGGAAAUGGUGGCAGGAACCCCCAAAUCCUUCAACAUCAGGCUCAUCCAUAAAAUCACCUUCCCAACCCUUCCUAUUAGCUGCAAGUGACCCAUCACCUCUGCUGUGCCAAAAGAAGCAGCAACAUAUUUCCCCAGAUAACAAUUGGAACAAGAAGUCAAGCUGUGUAACAUGCAAAUGUUGCAUCAUCCGGGUUCUUGGCAGAUCACUCAGCUUCACCGGAUAA